CUAGCUGUAAACGAUGUAGACUAGGCGUUGGUGGAGUAAAAUCCAUCAGUGCCGGAGCAAACGCGAUAAGUCUACCGCCUGGGGACUACGGCCGCAAGGUUAAAACUCAAAGGAAUUGACGGGGCCCCGCACAAGCAGCGGAGCGUGUGGUUUAAUUCGAUGCUACACGAAGAACCUUACCAGGGUUUGACAUACAAGUGGUAGAGAAGUGAAAACGGAUCGACCCCUCGGGGAGCUUGUACAGGUGC
rnacentral:rRNA from 1 species